UAACCAGACUCCUACGGGAGGCAGCAGUGGGGGAUAUUGCACAAUGGGGGAAACCCUGAUGCAGCGACGCCGCGUGGGUGAAGAAGCGCCUCGGCGCGUAAAGCCCUGUCAGCAGGGAAGAAAAUGACGGUACCUGAAGAAGAAGCCCCAGCUAACUACGUGCCAGCAGCCGCGGUAAUACGUAGGGGGCAAGCGUUAUCCGGAUUCACUGGGUGUAAAGGGAGCGUAGACGGCGACGCAAGUCUGGAGUGAAAGCCCGGGGCCCAACCCCGGGACUGCUCUGGAAACUGCGGCGCUGGAGUACGGGAGGGGCAGGCGGAAUUCCUGGUGUAGCGGUGAAAUGCGUAGAUAUCAGGAGGAACACCGGCGGCGAAGGCGGCUUACUGGACUGUAACUGACGUUGAGGCUCGAAAGCGUGGGGAGCAAACAGGAUUAGAUACCCCAGUA
rnacentral:rRNA from 1 species